UAUUACUCCAUAUAAGCCGGCCUUGAAACCCGCAUAAAUGCACAACUUCCAUUGCAUUGCAAGAAGAGACAACAAAGAUACGUGAUGAAGGUGAUACUUGUAGCGGCUCUGCUGGUGUGUCUGCUGGCGAUACACACUGAUGCAAUCUACAGCUACCGCCACUACCGCAACUACCGGAUCAGGAUGUACUGGAGAAGAACUACAUCCUGUAUCUAUAGUGCAGCAAGGCGGCUAUCUCGCUGUUACGGCGUGAGAUCCAGGUUCCGAUACUAUUUUGGAAAGAGAGAAAUCGAGAAUGCAGAUGAGUACACUGAGCAGCCAGAGAACGAUGACCUAAUCAGCGCCAGAGAUG